AUCUGAGCCUCUAGGGAAUCUUGUUAAAAAUGCAGAUUCUGAUUUAGAAGAUUUGUGGUGGGGCCAGAUAGCCUGCAUUUUUAACAAGCUCUCAGGUGUUGUUGGU
rnacentral:miRNA from 1 species